rnacentral:rRNA from 1 species
UGGGGAAUUUUGGACAAUGGGCGCAAGCCUGAUCCAGCCAUGCCGCGUGCGGGAAGAAGGCCUUCGGGUUGUAAACCGCUUUUGUCAGGGAAGAAAUCUUCUGAGUUAAUACCUCGGGAGGAUGACGGUACCUGAAGAAUAAGCACCGGCUAACUACGUGCCAGCAGCCGCGGUAAUACGUAGGGUGCAAGCGUUAAUCGGAAUUACUGGGCGUAAAGCGUGCGCAGGCGGUUUUGUAAGACAGAGGUGAAAUCCCUGGGCUCAACCUGGGAACUGCCUUUGUGACUGCAAAGGCUUGAGUGCGGCAGAGGGGGAUGGAAUUCCGCGUGUAGCAGUGAAAUGCGUAGAUAUGCGGAGGAACACCGAUGGCGAAGGCAAUCCCCUGGGCCUGCACUGACGCUCAUGCACGAAAGCGUGGGGAGCAAACAGGAUUAGAUACCCUGGUAGUCCACGCCCUAAACGAUGUCAACUGGUUGUUGGGAAGGUUCCUUCUCAGUAACGUAGCUAACGCGUGAAGUUGACCGCCUGGGGAGUACGGCCGCAAGGUUGAAACUCAAAUGAAUUGAC